UACGUAGGGUGCGAGCGUUAAUCGGAAUUACUGGGCGUAAAGCGUGCGCAGGCGGUUUUGUAAGCCAGAUGUGAAAUCCCCGGGCUCAACCUGGGAAUGGCAUUUGGGACUGCAAGGCUGGAGUGCGGCAGAGGAGACUGGAAUUCCUGGUGUAGCAGUGAAAUGCGUAGAUAUCAGGAGGAAUACCGAUGGCGAAGGCAGGUCUCUGGGCUGACACUGACGCUCAUGCACGAAAGCGUGGGGAGCGAACAGG
rnacentral:rRNA from 1 species